GAUGAAGAACGCAGCGAAAUGCGAUAAGUAGUGUGAAUUGCAGAAUUCAGUGAAUCAUCGAAUCUUUGAACGCACAUUGCGCCCUUUGGUAUUCCAAAGGGCAUGCCUGUUCGAGCGUCAUUUGUACCCUCAAGCUUUGCUUGGUGUUGGGCGUCUUGUCUCUAGCUUUGCUGGAGACUCGCCUUAAAGUAAUUGGCAGCCGGCCUACUGGUUUCGGAGCGCAGCACAAGUCGCACUCUCUAUCAGCAAAGGUCUAGCAUCCAUUAAGCCUUUUCUUCAACUUUUGACCUCGGAUCAGGUAGGGAUACCCGCUGAACUUAAGCAUAUCAAUAAGCGGAGGA
rnacentral:misc_RNA from 1 species